CCUACGGGUGGCAGCAGUGAGGAAUAUUGGUCAAUGGACGAGAGUCUGAACCAGCCAAGUAGCGUGAAGGAUGACUGCCCUAUGGGUUGUAAACUUCUUUUAUAUGGGAAUAAAAUGUUCCACGUGUGCGUUUUUGCAUGUACCUUAUGAAUAAGGAUCGGCUAACUCCGUGCCAGCAGCCGCGGUAAUACGGAGGAUCCGAGCGUUAUCCGGAUUUAUUGGGUUUAAAGGGAGCGUAGGUGGAUUGUUAAGUCAGUUGUGAAAGUUUGCGGCUCAACCGUAAAAUUGCAGUUGAAACUGGCAGUCUUGAGUACAGUAGAGGUAGGCGGAAUUCGUGGUGUAGCGGUGAAAUGCUUAGAUAUCACGAAGAACCCCGAUUGCGAAGGCAGCUUACUGGACUGUGACUGACAUUGAGGCUCGAAAGUGUGGGUAUCAAACAGGAUUAGAUACCCUAGUAGUC
rnacentral:rRNA from 1 species